rnacentral:misc_RNA from 1 species
AACUUUCGACAACGGAUCACUUGGCUCUCGCAUCGAUGAAGAACGCAGCGAAAUGCGAUAAGUAAUGUGAAUUGCAGAAUUCAGUGAAUCAUCGAAUUUCUGAACGCAUCUUGCGCUCCUUGGUAUUCCAAGGAGCAUGCCUGUUUGAGUGUCAUCAACUUCUCAACCACAUAUUUUGUGUGGCUUGGAUUUGGUGGGGUGUUGCCGGCUUUUAUUAGUAGGCUCUCCUGAAAUUCAUAAGUGGUAUUUAGAAAAGCUUCUUGUUGGGUGUUAUAAUUGAUAAGACACCUUCUGGCAAUUCUACUAUGCUGCUCCCAACACUUUUUAGAUGAUGAUUUUGACCUCAAAUCAGGUAGGACUACCCGCUGAACUUAAGCAUAUCAAUAAGCGGAGGCU